rnacentral:misc_RNA from 1 species
GGCGCGAAACCCGCGAAACCGCUACUCGCAACGGACACCGCGUUCCAGUUUAAAGCCCUAUAAGUCUCGAACGAGUCGGGAGGAGUUCUUCCAGUUAUUAACAAAGAAAACAUCGGCGAGCCGCUCCAGGGAAACCAGGACGCCAUGGCAUCCUCCGCCAGGAGCUAUCUCAUCACUCUGCUUCUCUACGUCUCGGUCGUAAACGAGAUCAGCCUGCCUCUGGUGACGUGCCAGGACGACGAGGGCGAGCAAUGCCUACCCCGGAAGACAUUCUUCGCCCUGCUACGCCUGCCGGAAGUCAGUUCAAACCUUGCGGCGUACUCGCGAACGGCGCGGAUAAUCCUCGACGCCAAGAACCGAAACGAGCUCGUUAACCUUAAGACUACGUCAACGGACGACGCGGAGGACGGUGAGGUCUGCCUUCCGGUCGGCGUCUACCUCGAGCUCUUCAGCUACCCAGCUACGAGGGGUCGUCUGGCAGCCAUGACCAGUGCUCAGCGGCUCUUCGAGGAGCCGGCAGCAUCGAGAAUGGACGAGGCCGAUGAGGGGGAAGAGGAGGACGAAGUCGACUCGGAGAAACGAAGCAUCGCGACCCUCGCGAAAAACGGUGAUCUGCCGAUAUCCAUCCAGGACAAGGCGGACGAGGAGGAGGAGGAUCAAGAGAAACGAAGCCCCGCGGCUAUGUUGAACAGGGAUGAGCUCGAGGCGCUCUACCGAUACUCGGAGCUCGGGAAGCGCAACGUUGCCGCGCUGGCUCGAGACUUCGCGCUGCCGUCGGGAAAACGGAACGUAGCUGCGCUGGCUCGUGACUUCGCGCUGCCGCCGUCUAGCUCGGGAAAACGGAACGUCGCCGCGCUGGCUCGCGACUUCGCGCUGCCGUCGGGAAAGCGGAACGUCGCUGCUUUGGCGCGUGACUUCGCGCUGCCCUCGGGUAAGCGCAACAUCGCCGCGCUGGCUCGGGACUACAGUCUGCCAUACGGGAAGCGGUAUUUGGACAUUUUCUCACGCGGCAGCGCCCCGCGCUUCCAGCCCAGCUACGGCGAGAAACGGAACCUCGCGGCUCUCGUUAGGAACGGCGAUAUGCCCGUUGGACUUAAGCGCAAUAUCGCGGCUCUGGCCAGGGGAUGGACUCUGCCGACUCAGAACAGGUUCGGACGCUCGUUGGACAACAUCGAGGGGAGGGCGAAGGGCCGGAUGAAGGAUGCUCCGAGACCGGAAGAGCAGCGCAAGAAGGAGGAGGACGCCAAUGAGAGGAAAUUGGAAGCUUUGGCCAGCUCCGCGGCGGUGGCCGCCAAGAUUUCCGGGGAUAACGAGAAGCUCAAGCUCGAUACCGAUAUCAAUGGCAAGAAUAAAUCAACGAAGAACGCCAAGCAUGCUGGCGAGAAAAGGCCGAAGCGGCAGAUCGAAUUCUCUGACGAGUAUCCUCUGCCCGUUAUGCAGAACAACAACGUUCUGGAUUAUGAGGAAUUUAUCGAGGCACUUACAGGCGAUUAUCCCAACGCGGAGAAACGAUUCAUGGCAACGGACCCCAGGGAGAUGCAGGAAGGCGAAGAAGCCAGCUUCUACAUGUCGCAACCCUCGAAGAAGCACAUCGGGGCGCUGGCUCGCCUUGGGUGGCUCCCCUCGUUCAGAUCCGCAAGGUUUUCCCGCUCCCCACGGUACCUGGUGAACAGGUCAGCCCAGUAGGAUACGCUCCUCCGCGUCCUCUCUCAACUCUUCGUAUGUGCUGUCGAUGUGUCUCUGUCCCGUAGAAGUCACCCUCAAUACCACCACCACCACUGCUACUAACACUACCACCACCACUAUGUCUAUUUGUCUAACGUCAACCGCAUACCCACCGCACAAUAUUGCGGUCACCGCACCUUUAACGGACGACCGCUUUCACGGGCGAAUUCCGCAGAUGGGACCUCGGCCGACUACCCCGCCGACUCGGCGUCUAGGACGUUAGGAUUCGGCGGCGCGACCCGUUACUCCAGAUCCCAGAACUUCGGAGAUUGUCGU